rnacentral:rRNA from 1 species
CUUUGCUGACGAGUGGCGGACGGGUGAGUAAUGUCUGGUAAACUGCCUGAUGCAGGGGGAGACGCACUGAACACGGUGCCUUAGCCUACUAGAGGUCGCAUCUCUUUGUAUGGGGCCUUGGAGCCCGCGUGCAUCCCUACUCCCCAGAUGGGAUAAGAUAUUACGUGGCCCCACCCUCCCCUAGGCGACGAUCCCUAGCUGGUCUGAGAGGACGACCGCCACACUGGAACUGAGACACGGUCGAUACUCCUACUGGAGGCAGUAAUGGGGAUAUUGCACAAUGGGCGCAAGCCUGAUGCAGCCAUGCCGCGUGUAUGAUGACGGACUUCGGGUUGUAAAGUACUUUCAGCGGGCAGGAUGGUGUUGAUGGUUAUGGUCUUACCAGUUGAAUCUACUUAAACAACAUGCUCCGCCUCUCGUGGGGGCCCCCCCGUCAAUUCAUUUGGAGUGGUGCCCUUGCUAAUCGCGCACUACUGGGGCGUAAAACGCACGCAGGCGGUCUGUCAAGUCGGAUGUGAAAUCCCCGGGCUCAACCUGGGAACUGCAUUCGAAACUGGCAGGCUAGAGUCUUGUAGAGGGGGGUAGAAUUCCAGGUGUAGCGGUGAAAUGCGUAGAGAUCUGGAGGAAUACCGGUGGCGAAGGCGGCCCCCUGGACAAAGACUGACGCUCAGGUGCGAAAGCGUGGGGAGCAAACAGGAUUAGAUACCCUGGUAGUCCACGCCGUAAACGAUGUCGACUUGGAGGUUGUGCCCUUGAGGCGUGGCUUCCGGAGCUAACGCGUUAAGUCGACCCCCUGGGGAGUACGGCCGCAAGGUUAAAACUCAAAUGAAUUGACGGGGGCCCGCACAAGCGGUGGAGCAUGUGGUUUAAUUCGAUGCAACGCGAAGAACCUUACCUACUCUUGACAUCCAGAGAACUUAACAGAGAUGCUUUGGUGCCUUCGGGAACUUUGAGACAGGUGCUGCAUGGCUGUCGUCAGCUCGUGUUGUGAAAUGUUGGGUUAAGUCCCGCAACGAGCGCAACCCUUAUCCUUUGUUGCCAGCGGUCCGGCCGGGAACUCAAAGGAGACUGCCAGUGAUAAACUGGAGGAAGGUGGGGAUGACGUCAAGUCAUCAUGCCCCUUACGAGUAGGGCUACACACGUGCUACAAUGGCGCAUACAAAGAGAAGCGACCUCGCGAGAGCAAGCGGACCUCAUAAAGUGCGUCGUAGUCCGGAUUGGAGUCUGCAACUCG